rnacentral:lncRNA from 1 species
AAAGAUUGAUUGCCCAUUCAAAUUCAAACUUUAUUUUGAAUUUGAAUGGCCAACCAAUCAUCUUUAUCCAUUCAUAUGGCACAUUAAAGUGGGGCAUGGAGAGAGCUUGGCGUGAGAAAAAAAUUCAUGAGAAGUUCCUUCUCAUGAAUUCAAAUGGGUGCAAUGGAAGUGAGGUGGUGCAUGGAGAUUGGGUCAAGGUGGUUUAAUUAUUUAAACCAACCUAAUUGAACCAAAUAAAUUAGGUCCAAUUAGACUAAUUUAAAUCCAACUUAAUUAGGCUUAAUUAGACUCAAUAAAAUCCUAAUCAAAUCAGAAAUUGACUAAGCCCAACCCCUGAUCAAAUCAAGAACCAAACCAUCUUGACGAUUAGGUCAACUCUUAACCUAAUCGAGUCAAACCCAACUGAAUCCAAUUCAAUUGGACUUGAUCCAAAAAUAAUUACUCAAUCAAAUUGAGUUAAUUAGCAAUCAAAUCACUAAUUAAAUCUCUCAUAAAUACUGAGUCUAAAUUCGAUGGGCAAUCGGACAUCAGAAUUCAUCGAUAUGUAAUCCUGAUCGAAAAGUCCCAACCAGUGGGACUCUUGACCCCAAUACCCAUAAUGUGUGGAACUCGUGAUCAGAGAAUCCUGAUUCUCGAUCAUCGAGUCUCAAACAUGUAGGAUUCUAUAUCAGCCAUCAGAUCAGAUAGGAACCUCUAAUGUGUGUGACCCCGCAGGUUCGAACCUAAGCCGGUAGCAUAGGAACCAAUUUCUGUACUAAUCGAAGUGACCAUCUAGCAAUGGUACCCGACGUUCGGAU